rnacentral:rRNA from 1 species
GAUGAACGCUGGCGGCGUGCUUAACACAUGCAAGUCGAACGGAAAGGCCCAAGCUUGCUUGGGUACUCGAGUGGCGAACGGGUGAGUAACACGUGGGUGAUCUGCCCUGCACUUCGGGAUAAGCCUGGGAAACUGGGUCUAAUACCGGAUAGGACCACAUUUUGGAUGGUGUGGUGGAAAGUUUUUCGGUGUGGGAUGAGCUCGCGGCCUAUCAGCUUGUUGGUGGGGUAAUGGCCUACCAAGGCGUCGACGGGUAGCCGGCCUGAGAGGGUGUACGGCCACAUUGGGACUGAGAUACGGCCCAGACUCCUACGGGAGGCAGCAGUGGGGAAUAUUGCACAAUGGGCGCAAGCCUGAUGCAGCGACGCCGCGUGGGGGAUGACGGACUUCGGGUUGUAAACUCCUUUCGCUAGGGACGAAGCGUUAUGUGACGGUACCUGGAGAAGAAGCACCGGCUAACUACGUG